CAUCCUCCAAGGCUAAAUACUCCUGACUGACCGAUAGUGAACCAGUACCGUGAGGGAAAGGCGAAAAGAACCCCGGCGAGGGGAGUGAAAAAGAACCUGAAACCGUGUACGUACAAGCAGUGGGAGCACAGGUUUACCUGUGUGACUGCGUACCUUUUGUAUAAUGGGUCAGCGACUUAUAUUCUGUAGCAAGGUUAACCGAUUACGAAGUUUAAUUCUGUUAAAGAGCAGCACUCUAUAGAGUGGCUUUUUUGAUAUUAUCUUUGCGAAUGUCGCAAAUGUGGAGCAAAACUUCGCAGUGAACCCUUUCAGGUACACUCUGAAGUAUUUUUUCGUGUAGGCUGGUUUUCCAGGCAAAUCCGGAAAAUCAAGGCUGAGGCGUGAUAAAGAAGCGUACUU
rnacentral:rRNA from 1 species